GGGCAACCUUGUUCAGGGUUUUGCCCAAUUUCUUGAGUCCAGAUUCUUAACUGUGGCUAUGAACUGAAUCUUCAAGACAGGUGAUCCCACUCCCGUAAUGGUACCAUCAAGAUGAAGCCAAAUGACAUGCGGAUAUAACAAGGAAGGAGCAGCUGGUGGGACAGUCUUUGCAUAUCAUGGACAGCGCCCACUGACCGCCCCCCAUCCCCCAACACAACCACAUUUCCUAACGUCCUGACUUUUACUAUUGAUAUUUUUAUUCACAGGAAGUGUUCUGCAAACAUCCUCUGCUUGAUUAGCACCGAAGACAACAACUCUCUCAGGAUCCAUAUAAAACUCUCUUGAUCAGUCAGUAAUUUCCACUGUCUUAUGCAAGCACUAACUUAGCAAUAUUGAUGCAAAAUACCUUCUCCUUCUAAACAAGAGAACACUAAAAUGAAAAUGUUUCUGCAAAGGAGUUGUGCUUCAAAGACCUGAUGGAGAUGCUUUUAGGAACGCCUGUAACAGAUAAGUAAAUGAUUUGAUCAUUGACUUUGGCGACUAGAAGAGAACUGAUAAUGGAAUGUUUGCUUUUCUUGUGAUUUUAACACUCAGUUUCAACUCUUAUGGCAUGAAUUUAAAAUUAAAUAUGUG
ensembl:lncRNA